rnacentral:rRNA from 1 species
CACGUAGGGGACGAGCGUUGUCCGGAUUCAUUGGGCGUAAAGCGCGCGUAGGCGGCUCGGAAAGUCGGGCGUGAAAUCCCUGGGCUCAACCCAGGAACUGCGUCCGAUACUGGUUGGCUUGAAUCCGGGAGAGGGAUGCGGAAUUCCAGGUGUAGCGGUGAAAUGCGUAGAUAUCUGGAGGAACACCGGUGGCGAAGGCGGCAUCCUGGACCGGUAUUGACGCUGAACAGCGAAAGCCAGGGGAGCAAACGGG